UUGGGGUGAAGAAUACCUGUGUAGCACAGCUGAUGUUUUUCACCAAGUUGUACUUUAAAGCUGAUUUCCACUUUUAUUUUAUUUAUCUAAGCUAUCCUGAUUCCCAUGUCCAGAAAAAAAAGUUUGACCCCAAAUUAACUUUCAUCUUCGCAAUUUUUUUACACCAUAUUUACAAUUAAACUUUGCUUUGCAUUUUGAUAAAGUUCUGGAUGAUUUACUAGACAUUCAUUCCCUCACAGUCCUUUUUUACAGUCUGCCAGACCAUACUUCUAAUUGAGUUUUAUGUUCCUAAGGAGAGGAUUUAAACAUGCCACAUCUCUAUUAUACCCAUUCUUUUAACUCUAAAUCACUCUCGUCUCAAUUUGAGACAGGCAGUCCAUCUGAAGGAGAUUAAGAAAAGAUAUUAUUAGAGAUAAAAAUUGCUGUCUCGUGUGGUCCAGCACAUAAGAGAAGAAAGCUCCUGUGACUUCCAGCCAGAGAAAGGACUGAAACUUCCAGCUUAAUUCCAGAAAUACCUAUCACAAAAUAUCCUUACGCAUUAUUUCAUUCUUCCUGUGUCUGAAGCUACUUUCCAUGUUGCCUGUGUGACUUCAUUUCCAGCAGCAUCACGAGUCAGCAGGCUCCGAGGUACAAGAAUUUGCCUAUAGAUGUGAAUGUAUCAUCUUUAAUGGAUACCAACUCACCAUGUUUUCCAUAUGGGAAAGAGACGUACUAGAAGAUGAUAUCAGGAACCUGGACUGUUCAGGUGCCAAUGGAACAGUAUAACCCUUCUAACAAUUUUGGAAGAAACAUUUGAAAAGAUUGCACAUUUAUAGAGAAACACCUCUUUUAUGUCAAUGUUGGCAUAGCCAUUCUUGUACUGUCAGGGAGACACUGUAUCAUUUGUCACUUGAGAGUUCCUUGCAGUAAAAAGAUGGAACAUUAAUUCAUUUGUUAAGAAAGAGUAUGUUGAGUUGUGCUGGUAGCUAGAGAGAUUUUUAUAUUACAGUGUAAUACAAUAGAGUGAUCACUUAUACAGACAAAAAAUUACAUUCCAAGAGUCAUUUCCCAUAGGUGUUGGUGCACUUGUUCCCAUUUGUGCUGAGCAUGUGGGCACUCAGUUCAAAGGACAAGAGCUAAAAUAUAUUCUUUUGGGGUUUUUUCCACUUUGCUGCUUGAUAGAAAAGACUUUCACACCCUUCUGAGCUGCCAUUCAGCAGCACAUAAAGAAUAUUACAGCUUGUGUUAAGUGUCAAUUAGAGAUAAUUACAACCUCGGUGACCUGUCUUGCCACUAAAACACUUAACAGACUUUAUUUUGUCUUUACAACAUGGAGACUGGGAGCACAAUUCUGAUCCCAGUGACACUGUGGUAAAUCAGGAGACACUGCAGUGAAGCCAGCUGAAUUUCAACCUCAUAAAUAUGAUGUAAGGUGGCCAAGGAAAUCAGAUGCUCUACUUAAACAUUGGUUCUGAUUUUGUAAAACUUUCAGUUUUGUGUCCUACUCUUGAGAAUUUUCAAAUACAACAACUAGGGACGUGUCAGCCAAUAGAUGUACUGGGAUUCCAUUGUUCUCCAUGCCAGACAAUGAGAGAAAACUAACAGGAGAUAAUCCUGUGGAAAUACUUGUAAUUUCCAAGCAUAAAAACUUAAUCAAAUGCCUCUACUUCUGUCAUCUGAAGUUUUCCAGGGCAUGAACUUUCAGCAGUGUCAUGUGGCCUCAGGAGACAGGACUUUAUAUAAAAGUAACAACCCAAAAUUUCACUUACUUUGGGUCCUCUAGGACAGUGAAAGAUUUCAGUACCCAAUUCAGCCAUCUAUGAUCAAAAAUAUGUCCUAGUUUCAUUGUCUAUGCUCUGCAAGUCUGUCAAGAUUUCUGAUUCUCCCUUCUAGUCCUACUGCCAAUUCCUCAUGGUUUCACAUUUUGUAUGCAGCAGACAGUCCUUUCCCCAAAUCAGUGAGCAACCAUAUUGGCUGCCAUUCUUAAUUUCAGACAGUUCAUUUGCUAUUUCCCUGCUUGAAACCCAGGGGAUAGGUUUUUGCCUCUGUAAAUGAAACCAGGUGAAUUCCCCAGCAGGUUUGGUGUAGUUCCUGUGACCAAUAACUGCCUGCUGUUAUUAGUAUGCCCAUUAUGUUGACCACUGCAUUUCCUCCCAUUUGCAUUUCAGACAGGAAUAACUUGCUUAAUGUUAGGUAUAAUGCACAGAAAAUUAUUUUAG